rnacentral:rRNA from 1 species
GACGAACCGUGCGAACGUUGUUCGGAAUCACUGGGCUUAAAGGGCGCGUAGGCGGGCUAUCAAGUCCGGGGUGAAAUCCUCCCGCUCAACGGGAGAACGGCCUCGGAUACUGAUGGUCUCGGAGGGGAUAGGGGCACGCGGAACUGUGGGUGGAGCGGUGAAAUGCGUUGAUAUCCAUAGGAACUCCGGUGGCGAAAGCGGCGUGCUGGAUCCCUUCUGAC